UUUAUAUUCCUCCGUCCAAAAAUACUUGUUAGAGAAAUGGAUGUAUCUAAAUGUAUUUUAGUCUUAGAUACGUCCAUUCUUAUUCAUUUUUGCGGCAAGUAACGUUGGAUGGAGGGAGUACGAU
rnacentral:pre_miRNA from 1 species